GACAAACGCUGGCGGAAUGUAUUAGGCAUGCAAGUCGCACGAACCUUCGGGUUAGUGGCGGACGGGUGAGUAACACGUGGGUAACCUGCCUCGUAGUGGGGAAUAACUCGCCGAAAGGCGAGCUAAUACCGCAUAUAACUCCCGGUGAGAAUCCGGGAAGUAAAAGCUCCGGCGCUACGAGAGGGGCCCGCGGCCGAUUAGCUUGUUGGUGGGGUAACGGCCUACCAAGGCGACGAUCGGUAGCUGGUCUGAGAGGAUGGUCAGCCACACGGGGACUGAGAUACGGCCCCGACUCCUACGGGAGGCAGCAGCUAAGAAUCUUGCGCAAUGGGCGAAAGCCUGACGCAGCAAUUCCGCGUGGAGGACGAAGGCCCUCGGGUCGUAAACUCCUUUUGCGAGGGAAGAAGUUCUGACGGUACCUCGCGAAUAAGCCACGGCUAACUACGUG
rnacentral:rRNA from 1 species